rnacentral:rRNA from 1 species
GCGUGAUAAUUCGCCCUUUAAUUGUGGGCUAGAAUGAAAGGACAAACGAAAGAUUAACUGUCUCUAUACUAUCAAUAAAAAUUGACCUACAGGUGAAGAGACCUGUAUAAAAAUAAAAGACAAGAAGACCCCGUAGAGCUUCGUUUUCUCUUAAGCUACUUCUAUAACUAUUUUAUUAGUUAAGCCACACCUUAAUAAAAACUUAGCUGGGGCGGCUAAGGAGAACAUAAUCCUCCAUUUUUAACUUUUAGCUUUACAAGGCUUAUAAGCCUACUUCUAUAAUGACCCUUCGCAGAUCAAAAGAUAUAGCUACCUCGGGGAUAACAGAUUAAUCCUUCUAGAGAGCUCACAUUGACAGAAGGGA